rnacentral:rRNA from 1 species
CGGACGGGUGAGUAACGCGUGGGUAACCUGCCUCAUACAGGGGGAUAACGGUUAGAAAUGACUGCUAAUACCGCAUAAGCGCACAGUACCGCAUGGUACGGUGUGAAAAACUCCGGUGGUAUGAGAUGGACCCGCGUCUGAUUAGCUGGUUGGUGAGGUAACGGCCCACCAAGGCGACGAUCAGUGGCCGACCUGAGAGGGUGACCGGCCACAUUGGGACUGAGACACGGCCCAG